CGCGGGAUGGAGCAGCCUGGUAGCUCAUCGGGCUCAUAACCCGAAGGUCGUCGGUUCAAAUCCGGCUCCCGCAACCA
rnacentral:tRNA from 1 species